rnacentral:lncRNA from 1 species
GAAGAGGGCAAAAGUCAUUAUGUGAUACACACAGUAUGUACAAUUAGUUUAUUAGUACACAUAUAUGUGAACCAUACAAAGUGAAUAACUGAGCGCAAUAAAACUCAGUAACUGUGUGAGCAUAGACAGUAUUAGCAAAAUGCAUAUCACAAUAAUAGAUAACUUAUGUAAACUAUGAUAAUUGUUUAUUCAUUAACUACUAUGA